rnacentral:piRNA from 1 species
UAAGUGUAUCUUUCACAUUUU